GCAGUAGGUCCCCGGCUUCAGAAAAGUUCUCCUCAGGUUCACCUCACACUUUGCGGAAGGAGGAACAUCAUUGCACAUGAUGCUGUGCACCGAAGUGCACGUGGGGUCCGACACAAUGGUGCACGCCGAGGUGGGGACGCUAAAGAGGAGAUCAGACCGCAUGGGUAGAAAGCGGUCACUGCCUGACACCCACCGAUGAUGCUGAUGUUUGCUACAAAGAUUCCGUGCACGUAGCGGACGCACUCGUUGCCCUGCAGCACACGCUUGCUGUGAAGCAGAGCACAGAGGGUCGACUCUGGGGUACCGCUGGAAUCAACGGACGGGAGGACUUCUGUGGUGGGCAAGCCCAUUGUCACGGUGACAGGAGAUGAGCUGGAGAUCACCGAGAUGGCUGGAAGAAGUGGCAUGACGACAUGAAUUCAUGGGACCGGCAGCCAUGUUUGCGGAGUUGGAAAGUACGCAGUCAAUCGUCACCGGCGGCGACUCGGCUAAUCAAACUCAUGAGACUGACUGCAACAGCGAGCCGGAGGGAGGACAUCAUCGCGGUGAGGAAAAUGGCUAACAUUUACAGGAAUUGUCCUGUGCCCCCACGACGCAAGUGAGCAAUUGUCAAACGCACGCA